rnacentral:rRNA from 1 species
UACAGAGGUGGCAAGCGUUGUUCGGAAUUACUGGGCGUAAAGGGCGCGUAGGCGGCCAUCUAAGUCAGACGUGAAAUCCCCCGGCUUAACCUGGGAACUGCGUCUGAUACUGGACGGCUGGAGUUUGGGAGAGGGAUGUAGAAUUCCAGGUGUAGCGGUGAAAUGCGUAGAUAUCUAGAGGAAUACCGGUGGCGAAGGCGGCAUCCUGGACCAAUACUGACGCUGAGGCGCGAAAGCUAGGGGAGCAAACGGG